rnacentral:rRNA from 1 species
AUACGGAGGGGACAAGCGUUAUUCGGAAUCACUGGGCGUAAAGGACGCGUAGGCGGGUUAUUAAGUCGGGUGUGAAAUCCAAUGGCUCAACCAUUUAACUGCAUUCGAAACUGAUAACCUAGAGUAUGGAAGGGGCAGGUGGAAUUAGUGGUGUAGGGGUAAAAUCCGUAGAUAUCACUAGGAAUACCGAAAGCGAAGGCGACCUGCUGGGACAUUACUGACGCUGAGGCGUGAAAGCGUGGGGAGCAAACAGGAUUAGAAACCCCAGUAGUCC